rnacentral:lncRNA from 1 species
AAAAUCCAAGGCCUUUAAUUAGGUUUUCAGUAAUGACCAUAAAUGCCUUCUCAAAACCCCUUUCACUGAAAGCAGAAGGCAACAGGCAUUACACAACACCCUGAAAGCAGUGAUUCCUUCUGACGCUGGUGAGGUGAAGAUAAACAUUAAAUGGCAGGUUUUAGAUCUUAACAAGGUCUCUUCAGAAAAAAAAAAAAAAGACAACUUUAAAAAUCACACAAAAAAUUAAGUUAUCACUCAGUCUUUGUCAGGUUCCCAAUGCAGUUUUAAGUUAUUUUUACAAGUACAUAAUUUGAAAUUAAUAGAUAAACCCGGUAAGUAAGAUAUGGUUUUCAGUAUGUGUUAGGUUUUCUGUUAAGUAUAGUAAAUAUGUAGAUACAAUUAUUAUGCUAACUGGCAUCCUUUGCUACUCUUUAGCUGUGCAAAAUAAACUUGAAAUGAUACAUCCUGUAGUGGUAUAAUUUAAAAAAUCCUUGAUGUGACACUAACCACUUUCAAACUCUGGUCACAAACUGCAUAUAAAUUGUAGGAUUAUUAAAAUACGCCUUUUUGAAAAAUAAUAAGAUGACCAUUUAUAUCUAAAUAAGGUUUCCCAGGAAGAUAUUAAAUACUUUAGCAUAUAAAAGUUGCUGCCCCUUUUCCAUGAGGACAACUGUUGCUUCACAAAAUAGCUCAUGUGAUCCAAGGCAAAUGACUUCUUUCAAAUGCAGUAUUCUUUCCAUGACUUUGAGGUAUGCUUCAAGAGACCUACAUCCAUAAGAAAAGGGCACAUUUGGAUAGAAGACCACAGUUACAUACACCAAGGGAUGCCUAUUUUAAAUAGUGGCUUCUUCAGGACACUCCUAUUCAAACACCAACGGAAAGAACCUUAUUCUACCAAACCACAAUCUUCUAUUUUUGGCAAGGUAGUACACUGUAAACAAAACAGAAGCAAACAAAAACAACAACAAAACUAGCUUAGAUACAACAGUGAUUCAGGCAAAAGUUCCCAGGUCAACAGCAGGGAAAGUAAUCUGAG